UCAGGAAGGAGUGGCAAUUGAAAUAGCUGAAGCUGUCGUUGGAGCUUUAAAAGGGGAGCUUGCUGCUACUGCAGUAAAUGUACCAAUGGUUCCUGCUGAGUGACUAGAAUUCAAUCAUACUUGUCUCAUGUUCUACAGUUGAACCGAUAACCAGUUGUUCCUCAUGUCCUUUCCUUCUUCUCGCCGGAAGAACUCGAGCAACCCGGAUUCACUACCGUCAGUUAUCUCAUUGUGAUGGACAUCUCUUCAAUGACAGCACCUCAGCACAGCCCUCACAUAAAGCCUUCCCCAAAUUCAGUAGUUUCAUCUCCCAGAGACUUCAGAAGGAGCUGAUGUCUCUCAUGGUAUGUGAUUUCUCUUAUUAGGCUCUAGAAGGAGCUGAUGUCUUUUCAGAAU